rnacentral:rRNA from 1 species
GACGUAGGGCGCGAGCGUUAUCCGGAAUGAUUGGGCGUAAAGCGUCCGCAGGUGGCAGUUCAAGUCUGCUGUCAAAGACCGGGGCUUAACUUCGGAAAGGCAGUGGAAACUGAACAGCUAGAGUAUGGUAGGGGCAGAGGGAAUUCCUGGUGUAGCGGUGAAAUGCGUAGAGAUCAGGAAGAACACCGGUGGCGAAAGCGCUCUGCUGGACCUUAACUGACACUGAGGGACGAAAGCUAGGGGAGCGAAUGGG